CUACGGGGGGCUGCAGUGGGGAAUAUUGGACAAUGGGGGAAACCCUGAUCCAGCAAUGCCGCGUGUGUGAAGAAGGCCUGCGGGUUGUAAAGCACUUUCGGUUGGGAGGACUGCUUCUAGCACUAAUAUUGUUGGAAGUUGACGUUACCUUCAGAAGAAGCACCGGCUAACUCCGUGCCAGCAGCCGCGGUAAUACGGGGGUGCAAGCGUUAAUCGGAAUUACUGGGCGUAAAGCGCGCGUAGGCGGCUAGAUCAGUCGGGUGUGAAAGCCCCGGGCUUAACCUGGGAGCGGCAUCCGAUACUGUCUAGCUUGAGUACAGGAGAGGAGAGUGGAAUUCCACAUGUAGCGGUGAAAUGCGUAGAUAUGUGGAGGAACACCAAUGGCGAAGGCAGCUCUCUGGCCUGAUACUGACGCUGAGGUGCGAAAGCGUGGGGAGCAAACAGGAUUAGAUACCCUAGUAGUC
rnacentral:rRNA from 1 species